rnacentral:tRNA from 1 species
GGGGGCGUGGUGUAGCUUGGUCCAUCAUCGCGGGCUCCAGACCCGCGGACGUCAUCCGAUCCGACCGUUUUCAAAUCCCCGCGCCCCCACCA